GGCAAAGUUGGCAUGUGAUACCUUUUCGGAAAGCCCAAAGACAGCCCUCCGACGAAAGAAGCAGGACAAUGGAACUUCUCCAUUGACUUUUUGUCGACCCCAAAUUUUGACCUUUAAGUACUUUUUCGGGCAUUUUCGUGAUUUGGGCUAUAUUACGGACCCAAAAUUACUUGUUCAAGCAUUGUUUUCGAAUUUUUUCAUGCAUCAAAGCUCGUUAAGACUAGAUGGGGUAUCCCUACAUAGCGGGCGGGACCCACGGCGAACGGUUCAUCAAGACUUAAAAAAAGAAUAUAUACGAUUGCAUUGCAUAUGCUAACGGAUGCGAUCAUACCAGCACUAAUGCACCGGAUCCCAUCAGAACUCCGCAGUCAAGCGUGCUUGGGCGAGAGUAGUACUAGGAUGGGUGACCUCCCGGGAAGUCCUCGUGUUGCAUCCCUCUUUUAUGUUUAACCUUUUUUUUUUUGGUUAAAACUUUAUGACUCAAUAACUUAUAGACUG
rnacentral:rRNA from 1 species